CGACGAGUUCAGAUUCGAGCUUGUCGAUAUUUUCAGCAGUCGAGCGAAGCUGAGCCAUCAACGCCACUUCGGCAUCCUUAGCACACUUGACAGCAUCCUGAUCAACGUGCAUAGACUCAGCUGCUAGGAUCAAAGUCUUAUGCAUUAUGGCAAUCAGGGAGGACCUCCUCAAGUAGGCAGGACACUUCCCAAAAAGAGUCUGAACGGAUGACAACUUUCCCAACACUGUCAAUGAACUUGGCACAUGCAUCAACGUCUUCAAGCAGGUUAGCCUUCAGUAGUGCAUAAACCUCAGGAAACUUUCCAGUCUCAGAUUUCUUUUUCUAUUUAGAUGAAUCAGUCG
rnacentral:lncRNA from 1 species